rnacentral:rRNA from 1 species
UACAGAGGGUGCGAACGUUGCUCGGAAUUACUGGGCGUAAAGCGCGUGUAGGCGGAUGGGUAAGUCAGAUGUGAAAUCCCCGAGCUCAACUCGGGAACUGCAUUUGAAACUGCUCGUCUUGAGUACCGGAGAGGGUGGCGGAAUUCCUGGUGUAGAGGUGAAAUUCGUAGAUAUCAGGAGGAACACCGGUGGCGAAGGCGGCCACCUGGACGGUAACUGACGCUGAGACGCGAAAGCGUGGGGAGCAAACAGG